rnacentral:rRNA from 1 species
AACGAACGCUGGCGGCAGGCCUAACACAUGCAAGUCGAACGAACCUUCGGGUGAGUGGCGCACGGGUGCGUAACGCGUGGGAAUAUACCCUUGAGUAAGGAACAACGUUUGGAAACGAACGCUAAUACCUUAUAAUGACUCCGGUCCAAAGAUUUAUCGCUCAAGGAUUAGCCCGCGUCUGAUUAGCUAGUUGGUGAGGUAACGGCUCACCAAGGCGAUGAUCAGUAGCUGGUCUGAGAGGACGACCAGCCACACUGGGACUGAGACACGGCCCAG